rnacentral:lncRNA from 1 species
AGCCCUCCACAGCCUCCCCUUCUGGUUUCUGGCAGGGACACUGGAGCCCAAGCACAUGCGCUUCUCAGCCUCUCAGGGUGAAAUGCUGCCAACUUCAAGCCAGGAUGGAAAGGAAGCAGAAAACUCUCAAAUCAGGACUAUCCCUUCCGAAUAUCUUCGCAGCUUCAUCCUCUGGUCUCUGAGAAAAUUGGGUCCCAAAUGUGCUUGAAAACCAUGGAAUGCCAUGCAACAGAAGCAGCAGACUAGAUGCCACCCAGCCACAGCUGUAGAGCCUGAGAAGAUGCUGAGUGAAGAAAAAGUAAAGCAGGAUGAGCUCAUUAGCUUCUUUUGUUUUUUUGUGGUUGCUUUUUGUUUGUUUUGUUUAGGUACAGGGUCUCCCUCU